AUUGCUUCUCGGCCUUUUGGCUAAGAUCAACUGUACUGUGUGUUCCUAUCAGUUUAAUAUUAGACAACCUGACUACCUAUUUUCAUGAAGUAAUGUCUCUCCCAUUCCUC
rnacentral:snRNA from 1 species